rnacentral:piRNA from 1 species
CCCUGUUCUAAAUAGUGGUUUGAGG